UACGUAGGGUGCAAGCGUUGUCCGGAAUUAUUGGGCGUAAAGAGCUUGUAGGCGGUUUGUCGCGUCUGCUGUGAAAUUUCGGGGCUCAACCUCGAGACGUCGGCGGAAACCAUCUGGCUAGAGUCCGGAAGAGGAGAGUGGAAUUCCUGGUGUAGCGGUGAAAUGCGCAGAUAUCAGGAGGAACACCGAUGGCGAAGGCAGCUCGCUGGGACGGUACUGACGCUGAGGCGCGAAAGCGUGGGGAGCAAACAGG
rnacentral:rRNA from 1 species